CCAAUAGCGUAUAUUAAAGUUGUUGCAGUUAAAAAGCUCGUAGUUGAAUUUCGGAAUCUGUCCAUCGGUCGGGCUUCACUGUCCGUACUGGUGUGGUGGGUUCUUACCUUCUGAAUAACCAGCAUGCCAUUCACUUGGUGCGCUGGGGAAGCAGGACUAUUACCUUGAAAAAAUUAGAGUGCUCAAAGCAGGCUAGUGCCUGAAUACAUUAGCAUGGAAUAAUAAAAUAGGACGGCAUGGUUCUAUUUUGUUGGUUUAUAGGAUCACCGUAAUGAUUAAUAGGGAUAGUUGGGGGCAUUAGUAUUCAAUUGUCAGAGGUGAAAUUCUUGGAUUUAUUGAAGACUAACUUCUGCGAAAGCAUUUGCCAAGGAUGUUUUCAUUAAUCAAGAACGAAAGUUAGGGGAUCGAAGACGAUCAGAUACCGUCGUAGUCUUAACCAUAAACUAUGCCGACCAGGGAUCGGACGAUGUUAAUUUUUUAAUGACUCGUUCGGCGCCUUACG
rnacentral:rRNA from 1 species